ACGAUGUUCCGCUGCAGAAUAAGUUAGUUAUGCAAGAGCAUCUG
rfam:Bacillus methanolicus MGA3, complete genome.